rnacentral:Y_RNA from 1 species
AGUGUCUGAGUGCAGUGGCAUUUACAACUAAUCGAUCACAACCAGUUAAAGAUUUCUUUGUUUCUUCUCUACUCCCAGUGCUUCACUUGUCUAGCCUUAA